GUUGGUGAGGUAAUGGCUCACCAAGGCGACGACGGGUAGCCGGCCUGAGAGGGCGACCGGCCACACUGGGACUGAGACACGGCCCAGACUCCUACGGGAGGCAGCAGUGGGGAAUAUUGCACAAUGGGCGAAAGCCUGAUGCAGCGACGCCGCGUGAGGGAUGACGGCCUUCGGGUUGUAAACCUCUUUCAGCAGGGAAGAAGCGAAAGUGACGGUACCUGCAGAAGAAGCGCCGGCUAACUACGUGCCAGCAGCCGCGGUAAUACGUAGGGCGCAAGCGUUGUCCGGAAUUAUUGGGCGUAAAGAGCUCGUAGGCGGCUUGUCACGUCGGGUGUGAAAGCCCGGGGCUUAACCCCGGGUCUGCAUUCGAUACGGGCUAGCUAGAGUGUGGUAGGGGAGAUCGGAAUUCCUGGUGUAGCGGUGAAAUGCGCAGAUAUCAGGAGGAACACCGGUGGCGAAGGCGGAUCUCUGGGCCAUUACUGACGCUGAGGAGCGAAAGCGUGGGGAGCGAACAGGAUUAGAUACCCUGGUAGUCCACGCCGUAAACGGUGGGAACUAGGUGUUG
rnacentral:rRNA from 1 species